GUUCUUGUAGUUGAAUACAACGGUGGUAUUUUCAAGUCAUUAGUCUCGGUUAAAAUCCGGGCAAGAAUU
rnacentral:tRNA from 1 species